rnacentral:rRNA from 1 species
CAGCAGCCGCGGUAAUACAGAGGGUGCAAGCGUUGAUCGGAAUUACUGGGCGUAAAGCGCGCGUAGGUGGUUUGUUAAGUUGGAUGUGAAAUCCCCGGGCUCAACCUGGGAACUGCAUCCAAAACUGGCAGGCUAGAGUAGGGCAGAGGGUGGUGGAAUUUCCUGUGUAGCGGUGAAAUGCGUAGAUAUAGGAAGGAACACCAGUGGCGAAGGCGACCACCUGGGCUCAUACUGACACUGAGGUGCGAAAGCGUGGGGAGCAAACAGGAUUAGAUACCCCAGUAGUCCCUGUCUCUUAUAC